CGCAAGGCCCAUUCCAUGAUCCACCUAAAAAAUCUGCCUUUUCUAUCACUCUCUGCGUUCCCAAAUAAAGCCUAAUUUUUCCAUUCUCACUCCGCAGCUACAAGAAAUUUAACAGCAAUGCACAAUGAGGGCAAUCUAUGGGAAUGUAGCCACUGUAAAUCCUUUGGAUCCUGGUAGUGCUUCUACACAUCAAAAUGUCGCCCAUGUACAGUCGCAAUGUCAUGAAGCAUUGGAGACAAUUGUUACAACCACAGCUCCCAAGCAAACAGAACCAUCAGAGCAAGUC